GCUGGCCCUGCUCAGGACGCACUUCCUGCCUUGCACAGCUCUGCCGUUUGCUUCCUGCUGCGGAGCACCUGGCGGCUCCUGUUGGGAUUGUGCACAUCCAGAAGCGGGGAGACUCGCCCUCGUCGGCACCGGCCAGGUGGGGCUGAUGAAGCCUAAGUCAGGAUGGCUGGGGAGAGCGAACAAGACCGUAAGACUGUGGAGCGACAGACGGCGCUGGACUCUACGGUGCACAGCAGAAGUGAGCUACCCGAUUCCUCCUCCACGAGCAGCGCAUGUUCAGAGGACCUGCGUGAGGACACAGCUGCUGUGUGACCCGGCCCUGCCUCCACCAGCCCCGUUCCCCAGCUCCUCUGGCCUCUCUGGCUUCCUUUCCAGCUCUGAUGCUGGCUCUGCACCCGCCGUCUGCAGGGCCCUUGCAGGUGCCAUCCUCAUUGUCUGAAACAUCGCCCUUGCUUCUCUUCAUUCUGCCAACUCUUAUACAUGCCCAGGCUCAGCUGCUGCGGAAUCUCAAAUUUCCUGAGUUUCCUGUCACAAUUUAUUUUUCCUUUGCUUUUUUUGCGGUGCUGGGAUGGAACCCAGGAGCGCCCCAUCCCUGGUCUAUAUCCACAGCUCUUUUAUUUUUGGAGGUCUCACUAAAUUGACCAGGGUGGCUUUGAACUUGUGACUCUCCUGCCUCAGCCUCCCAAGGGGCUGGGAUCUCACAUGUGCGCCUCUGCGCCUGGCAUGUUUUACUUUUCCUGAUAGCUGGGUUCUGGCUCUGCCUCUAGGUGGGGGUGCCCCUUCCAACGCAGAUGAUGCCUGAUACGGCAGUCACCCUUUCUCUCCUCGGGGGCUUUGGACACUGACCACACUCGCCAGGGGGUGGGUGACCAGGGAGGACAGGGCUGGCAAUGGCUCCACGUGUAGGGUGGACACAGUCACUGUACCGCGCGCGUGUGUGAGUGUGUGUUCAGAA